GAAUGUGAGGACUGUGACAUCUGUCACUCACUGAUUGCCAAGGUGGAUUUGGCUGGUCUGGCUGGCUGGGCAGAUGUCCCCUUCCUACCCCAACAUUCCAUGUGUGUCCCUCCUGAAGCUGCAGCUUGCUCAGUGGAAGGAAGCCCCUCCCUACCUCCGUAGAGGAGGAGUGUUUCUUUGGCCCAGGGUAAAGUAGUAGCUGCGCUUCUCUGAUAGAGCCUCCAACCAGUUAUGAAAUGAUAUUGAGGAUUUAGUAUCUUUCAUAUCAAUCUUCCUUAUCAUUCUUAAGUUUCCACAUAUCUUUGAAUCUAUUU
rnacentral:snRNA from 1 species